UGGGGAAUUUUGGACAAUGGGGGAAACCCUGAUCCAGCCAUCCCGCGUGUGCGAUGAAGGCCUUCGGGUUGUAAAGCACUCUUUGCAGGAAAGAAACGUCAUGGGUUAAUACCCCGUGAAACUGACGGUACCUGCAGAAUAAGCACCGGCUAACUACGUGCCAGCAGCCGCGGUAAUACGUAGGGUGCAAGCGUUAAUCGGAAUUACUGGGCGUAAAGCGUGCGCAGGCGGUUCGGAAAGAAAGAUGUGAAAUCCCAGAGCUCAACUUUGGAACUGCAUUUUUAACUACCGGGAUAGAGUGUGUCAGAGGGAGGUGGAAUUCCGCGUGUAGCAGUGAAAUGCGUAGAUAUGCGGAGGAACACCGAUGGCGAAGGCAGCCUCCUGGGAUAACACUGACGCUCAUGCACGAGAGCGUGGGGAGCAAACAGG
rnacentral:rRNA from 1 species